rnacentral:rRNA from 1 species
UCGAGGGGUAGUAUAGCAAUAUAUGAGACCGGCGCACGGGUGCGUAACGCGUAUGCAACCUACCUUUUACAGGGGAAUAGCCCAGAGAAAUUUGGAUUAAUGCCCCAUGGUAUUACGAGAUGGCAUCAUUUUGUAAUUAAAGUUCCAACGGUAAAAGAUGGGCAUGCGUCCUAUUAGCUAGAUGGUAAGGUAACGGCUUACCAUGGCUACGAUAGGUAGGGGUCCUGAGAGGGAGAUCCCCCACACUGGUACUGAGACACGGACCAGACUCCUACGGGAGGCAGCAGUGAGGAAUAUUGGACAAUGGGCGCAAGCCUGAUCCAGCCAUGCCGCGUGCAGGAAGACGCAUCUAUGGUGUGUAAACUGCUUUUGUACGGGAAGAAACACCCCCUCGUGAGGGGGCUUGACGGUACCGUAAGAAUAAGGAUCGGCUAACUCCGUGCCAGCAGCCGCGGUAAUACGGAGGAUCCAAGCGUUAUCCGGAAUCAUUGGGUUUAAAGGGUCCGUAUGCGGUUUGAUAAGUCAGUGGUGAAAGCCCAUCGCUCAACGAUGGAACGGCCAUUGAUACUGUCAGACUUGAAUUAUUGUGAAGUAA